UACGGGGGGGGCAAGCGUUGUUCGGAAUUACUGGGCGUAAAGGGCUCGUAGGUGGCCAACUAAGUCGGACGUGAAAUCCCUCGGCUUAACCGGGGAACUGCGUCCGAUACUGGAUGGCUUGAGUUUGGGAGAGGGAUGCGGAAUUCCAGGUGUAGCGGUGAAAUGCGUAGAUAUCUGGAGGAACACCGGUGGUGUAGACGGCUUUCUGGACCGUAACUGACGCUGAGACACGAAAGCGUGGGUAGCAAACAGG
rnacentral:rRNA from 1 species